rnacentral:rRNA from 1 species
UACGUAGGGGGCAAGCGUUGUUCGGAAUUACUGGGCGUAAAGGGCGCGUAGGCGGCACGGCAAGUCAGACGUGAAAGGCCUGGGCUCAACCGAGGAACUGCUUUUGAGACUGCCGAGCUAGAGUGCGGAAGGGGCAACCGGAAUUCCCAGUGUAGCGGUGAAAUGCGUAGAUAUUGGGAAGAACACCUGAGGCGAAGGCGGGUUGCUGGGCCGACACUGACGCUGAGGCGCGAAAGCCAGGGGAGCAAACGGG